UCGACCCUACGGGGGGCAGCAGUGGGGAAUAUUGCACAAUGGGGGAAACCCUGAUGCAGCAACGCCGCGUGAGUGAAGAAGUAUUUCGGUAUGUAAAGCUCUAUCAGCAGGGAAGAAAAUGACAGUACCUGACUAAGAAGCCCCGGCUAACUACGUGCCAGCAGCCGCGGUAAUACGUAGGGGGCAAGCGUUAUCCGGAUUUACUGGGUGUAAAGGGGGCGCAGACGGCGAUGCAAGCCAGGAGUGAAAGCCCACGGCCCAACCGUGGGACUGCUCUGGAAACUGUGCGGCUUGA
rnacentral:rRNA from 1 species